rnacentral:rRNA from 1 species
GACGAACGCUGGCGGCGUGCCCAACACAUGCAAGUCGAACGGAACUGUUUUGAAAGCUUUCUUCGGAAUGAAUUUGAUUUAGUUUAGUGGCGGACGGGUGAGUAACGCGUGAGUAACCUGCCUUCAAGAGGGGAAUAACAUUCUGAAAAGAAUGCUAAUACCGCAUGACAUAUCGGAACCACAUGGUUUUGAUAUCAAAGAUUUUAUCGCUUGUAGAUGGACUCGCGUCCGAUUAGUUAGUUGGUGAGGUAACGGCUCACCAAGACCGCGAUCGGUAGCCGGACUGAGAGGUUGAACGGCCACAUUGGGACUGAGACACGGCCCAGACUCCUACGGGAGGCAGCAGUGGGGGAUAUUGCGCAAUGGGGGCAACCCUGACGCAGCAACGCCGCGUGAAGGAUGAAGGUUUUCGGAUUGUAAACUUCUUUUAUUAAGGACGAAAAAUGACGGUACUUAAUGAAUAAGCGCCGGCUAACUACGUG